rnacentral:rRNA from 1 species
AACGAACGCUGACGGCAUGCCUAACACAUGCAAGUCGAACGAAGCCUUCGGGCUUAGUGGCGCACGGGUGCGUAACGCGUGGGAAUCUGCCCUUGGGUUCGGAAUAACAGUUAGAAAUGACUGCUAAUACCGGGUGAUGUCUUCGGGCCAAAGAUUUAUCGCCCAAGGAUGAGCCCGCGUAGGAUUAGGUAGUUGGUGGGGUAAUGGCCCACCAAGCCGACGAUCCUUAGCUGGUCCGAGAGGAUGAUCAGCCACACUGGGACUGAGACACGGCCCAGACUCCUACGGGAGGCAGCAGUGGGGAAUAUUGGACAAUGGGCGAAAGCCUGAUCCAGCAAUGCCGCGUGAGUGAUGAAGGCCUUAGGGUUGUAAAGCUCUUUUACCAGGGAUGAUAAUGACAGUACCUGGAGAAUAAGCUCCGGCUAACUCCGUGCCAGCCGCCGCGGUAAAAC